rnacentral:other from 3 species
ACGGUUAUAAAUCAACAUAUUGAUUUAUAAGCAUGGAAAUCCCCUGAGUGAAACAACGAAUUGCUGUGUGUAGUCUUUGCCCGUCUCCCACGAUGGGCUUUUUUUUUU